CGAAGGAUAAAUAUGGUGGCUGGCUGUGACCCCAACGCUCACCGCACGGCGUGGAACAGCUCGAACAUCAACGAUAGAGGAUAUGUUGAGGCAACAAAGAAAGCGCAGUUGGAAAAUGAAGUUAUUAGAAUGAAGUAGCAGCGCAGGCACAUUUGGAAAGUUAUGCCAAUAAGCAAGAUGGAAUUUGGGAAAAGAUCUUAUAAAUCGAGUGGCGUUAUUUAAGAUGUGCUCCAAACAUUUGGCGAACUUUUUUUUCGCUUUUUCAACGUGCUAAAUUACAAGUUAAGAUGACUGCCACCACGGCCGGUAAGAAGCCCGAAGCAAAGGGCAAACAACCUUCCAGGAAGCUGCAUGCUGUCACCGAGUCGUAGCUGAAGUUCAGCAAGAAGCAGGUCAGCAAACGUGAUACCCUUAUCAAGUGUAAACUAAAGCACUAUGCUGUGAUUACACUCCGCACACGUGAAAACUAGGUGCACGCUGAGAAAUAUCAAGCCAAAUAUCCGUGAUUAGGGUGGCCAGAUAUUAUAGAGACAUAAUCAGUACA